UGAUAGGGUCAGGCGUGUUUCUCGCGGGUGUUCAUCAUUUAAUUUUGAGUUUGUAAUUUGGUAAAUCGCGUUUUUUCAAUUGUUCAUCGACUGCAUUUAGCCAUUACUGACGUUAGUAUUUUAUUACAAAGUCGGCAAUUUUCUUUGCAAUCGUCGCAAGAUGACCGCGUUCUAUCAACUUGUUUACACUGCAUGUUUGCAAGAUACAGGUUGCAUGCAACGUCUCACAAUAUUGGUUGUAUUAUUACUUGCACAACGGAUUGGACAAUGGACAUGGACAAUGUUCUGCGGGGAAGCCGAGAAAGUGCUAAGUUUUGGUUGUUUUAGAUAUGAUUUGUAUGAAUAGCUACGGAAAACCAGCAAAAAUGUCAUUUUUGUGCUUUGAUCUGCAAAUUUCUAGUGGUUACAGGUGCCUUGCGAGCAAACGAAAUAUCCUAGGACAGCGAUUCUUUCAUCAGAUUGUGUCUAGCGCGCAAACGAAAUAUCCUAGGGUAGAGAUUCUUUCAUCAGAUUGGGUCUAGCAGGCAAACGAAAUAUCCCAGGAUAGCGAAUCUUUCAUCAGAUUGUGUCUAGAGGGCAAACUUAAUAUCCUAGGAUUGCAAUUCUUUCUGCAGAUUAUGUCUUGAGGGUAAACAAAAUAUUCUAGGACAGCGAUUCUUCCAUCAGAUUGUGUCUAGCGGGCAAACGAAAUAUCCUAGGAUAGCGAAUCUUUCAUCAGAUUGUGUCUAGCGGGCAAAUGAAAUAUCGUAGGAUAGCGGUUCUUUGAUCAGAUUCGGGCAAACGAUAUAUCCUAGGAUAGCGAUUCUUCCAUCAGAUUGU